CAGACACAUACGCCUAAUCCGUCACCGAGGUGACGGAGCGGGGGAACCAUUGGCAACCGGUGUAAACCGGUCGCCGGGGGCGAAUCGGACCACCUGGCCCGUAGCGCCGCUUCUUCAGCGCGAGCCCGUCAGCUAACCCCGCAGGCAUGACGAAGAAGGAGG
rnacentral:sRNA from 2 species